AUGACGUAUUUUGGUUCAGGCAUUUGCUCGUAUAAUCUCACUAAAGAGGGAGCCAUUUUCAUUGUUACCGUACCGGAUGCUACCUUUGCUUUGCUCUUCUUUUUCGGACACAUUUGGCAUGGCGCUAGAACAUUGUUCCGAGAUGUUUUUGCUGGUAUUGAUCCAGAUUUGGAUGCUCAAGUGGAAUUUGGAAACCAAGCCUUUCAUGGUUCAAAAACGCGGAAUCUCGUCUCAAUCAUCAUUUGUCAGGACUUUUCGGGGUAA
rnacentral:rRNA from 1 species